UACGAAGGGUGCAAACGUUGCUCGGAAUUAUUGGGCGUAAAGCGCACGUAGGCGGCAUUGCAAGUCGGAUGUGAAAUCCCUCGGCUUAACCAAGGAAGUGCAUCCGAAACUGCAGUGCUUGAGUACUUAAGAGGAUCGCGGAAUUCCCGGUGUAGAGGUGAAAUGCGUAGAUAUCAGGAGGAACGCCGGAGGCGAAAGCGAGUGACUGGCGCGUUCCUGACGCUGAGGUGCGAAAGCUAGGGGAGCAAACAGG
rnacentral:rRNA from 1 species